AAAUCCUAUCGGGUAAGGAAUGGCUAUCCACCCGUACCGAGCAUUUGGGUCUGAACUGGUAACAUAAGGACUAAGCGUAAUGCAGGGAGUGACAGAGCCAAAACGCAAGUGAACUUAUUGAGCCGGGAAAUCGAAGUUAAUGUGUCGGAUAUGGUCGAGACUUUCUAAAAGGUCGUAGACAACAUCUCUUAAACGAUAAUAGCAAGUGAAAAGAGACAUCCC
rnacentral:ncRNA from 1 species